GGAGUGGUAGUUCAGUUGGUUAGAAUACCGGCCUGUCACGCCGGGGUCGCGGGUUCGAGUCCCGUCUACUCCGCCA
rnacentral:tRNA from 1 species